UGUAUUGCAUUCGACCCGGGUCAAUUUCUUAGUGAUUCAUAUCCUAGGCUGACUGGGCCGAAUGCCAUAUGGGUAUAUGUUAGGCUUGACUCGGCCUGGCCCGAUUCCGAUUUGCAUACAAAUUUAUCUUUUUUCUUGGGGUUUGUUUCAACUUUACCCUUCUUCCUAUAAAACCCAAAAUGAAGGCACUCGACACACUCACUCACUUCCGUCUUAUAUCUUUCUGCUUGCAUUCUUGCAUAUUCUCCUUUUCUUUCCUCAUCCUGUUGCCCCCUUUCAUUCCCAACCCAUAUGGAGAUAAUCUGCCAUAUAUUCCAAUUAGAACUACAUUAUUGACCCAAACGAUCCGAACCCACAGUGAGUGGCUUUCUCCGUGUAAUUGAGAACCCGUAUUAUAAUCCUCAUCCAGGCAUCAAUUUCGGCCGUCUCAGUUUGAGCAUUUCUGCUUUCCCGUGUUCUUGCCGAAAUUGAUGCUAGGGAUGCAUUCUCAAUUACACAGGAAAAGCCACUGGGGUAGAUGACGGGUGGGUUCGGGUUGUUUAGGUCAAUAUUAUAGUUCUGAUUUGGAACAUAUGGCGGAUUAUCUCCAUAUGCGUUGGGAAUGAAAGGGGCCAUUGUUGUUUUCCCCGUGUUCUUGCCGAAAUUGAUGUCCGGGAUGAGGAUUACAAUACGGGUUCUCAACACGGGGAAAGCCACUGGGGUAGAUGACGGGUGAGUUCGGGUCGUUUGGGAAGGGAACCCAUGAAAGGCGAAAAAUCAUGGUCUGAGGCUCCUAAUAAGCCUAGGAACCACAAGAACACGGGAAAGGAGAAAUGCUUUGAUGAGUCUCAUUAUAGUCGAUGAGAUGCCAAGAUGGUUAGGCUUGUGAUGCGGCUGAGCGGCUGGGAUGCUUGCGAUGGCUGGGGUUUUUGGUGUUGGGUUUGUUUUGGAUUGCUUGCUUUUGGUCCAUAAAGCUUGGUGAUCAGUUUUCUGUAAUUUUAGGUAUAGCUUGGCUCAAUCACAACUGGUGCUUCCAUAUGGUGUGAGGUGUUGCAGCUACUAGCCGAGGAUUAAAGCAGAAAGUGGAAUUGAAGGUCAACAUAAUUUCAAUGAAUGUUGACAGUCCUUAACAAUAUGGUUUCAAGGUUAUUCGCAAACUCUGUUUUCUUUUUCCAUCAUGCACAAGUUCUGAGGACGCUUGGCAACUUCAGCUCCUCCGGUGAAACUAAUUUGCAGAUUUACAGGUGGGGAGUAACAUCCUUCCAAUUCAGAAAGUCCUCCAUGUACAUACUGAAACGAAUAGAUUUUGCCUUUUUUCUCUUUGAAGGAGAGCUGGACAGGGGAGAGCUUGGAUAUGUAUAAUGGGUAUUUUUCAGCCUUUCGCCUCCUUUCAUAUGAAAACAGUCACAAGUUCUUAAAAAAUAACAAAAAGUACUACAACUUCUUACCCCGCAGCAUCGCACAGGUUCUUCUUCUAAUUAACAACUAUGUAUGGAAGGAGGCAAAGAGAAAAACAGUGCAAAAUUUUCAUUAUGAAUGUUUCAAUUCCCAUUGACCAAUCCAAGUCAUGGAUUAUCUAUUA